rnacentral:lncRNA from 1 species
AGAUGAGCCUACCAUUCCAUAUGAGAGACAAAUCUAUAGAGAACUGAAACUUGAUUCUAAGGGGAAAUUACCACAGAUAACUUUGAACCCAAUGGAAAUCAAAACAUUUAUCAUAGACUUUAAUGGCUAAUUAUCUCUAUAUUAAAUAAAGUAUUCAUACUCAUGAAUCCUUAUGAACCCUAUAGAUAUAGAUAUGUGCAAUAUAACCUGUGAUAAUACUCUUUAUAUCAAUAAAGUAUUAAAUAUUAGAUCAGCUUUCAUUAUUUCAUCCAGUCACUAGAAAACAGUGAUUAAACAUCAAUAAUUAAAGCAGUAGAAAAUAAUGUUGAU